AACGAACGCUGGCGGCGCGCCUAACACAUGCAAGUCGAACGAGAAGGCGUAGCAAUACGCUUGUAGAGUGGCGAACGGGUGAGUAAUACGUGGGUGACCUACCCUCGAGUGGGGAAUAACCCGCCGAAAGGCGGGCUAAUGCCGCGUACGCUUCCGUCCUCACGGGGACGGAAGGAAAGCUGUACCGUGGGUACGGCGCUCAAGGAUGGGCUCACGUCCUAUCAGCUUGUUGGUAGGGUAACGGCCACCAAGGCUACGACGGGUAGCUGGUCUGAGAGGACGAUCAGCCACACUGGCACUGCGACACGGGCCAGACUCCUACGGGAGGCAGCAGUGAGGAAUAUUGCGCAAUGGGCGAAAGCCUGACGCAGCGACGCCGCGUGGGGGAUGAAGGUCUUCGGAUU
rnacentral:rRNA from 1 species